UUCUGCUGGGCUUCCUCCCAGCUGUAAAUUGGCUUAUACGCCAGAUCUCGCUGAGCCUUCUUGUAAGAGAAGGUGAACACACUAUUUGAUAAUGUGACUGUGUGGCGGUUGAAGGGGGGUUGAUAGGAGUAAAUUGGGCUGAGUAGGAAGCUCACUACUUCCAGCAGGAAGCCAAUCCAGUACAUCUGAGAUGUAAUAGAAUUGACCUCGGACACUUGGGGCCUUCUUGGGGUCCCGCAGAGCCCUCAAGGCCAGAAU
rnacentral:lncRNA from 1 species